GGGUACCACGUGACGUCACUGUAUUCUAGCGCCGCCAUUUUGGUGUCCGGUCACAGCAAGUCAUUACAACAACAGAGAACACGGAGGAAGCAACAGAGAAAGACACAUCGUGAAUAACAAAGUUUGUGGAUAUGCCUGGGAUUUGUUGUGCUGUGGGCUGUGACAAUAGUCGCCAGAGGAACCCCGGACUACAGUUUGUAUCGAUCCCCAAAGACUUAGACCGUCGUAAUAAAUGGCUGGCUGCCAUCAGAAGGGAUCACUGGCAGCCGACAUAACUCCAGAUUGUGUAGUCAACACUUCGUUUCCGGAAGAAAAAAUGACAACCCCAUGAGUCCUGACUACAUCCCCAGCCUGUUUGCGCACACGUCAGCUGGACAGCGGCAGAGAAGCAUCUAUGCCACCAGCAGAUUUGAGCAUACUCAGCAGGUGAAAAGGAAACGGACUGAGACUUUGGUUUCUGAUAGUGACCAUGAGACUGUGGCACCUUCCAGCACCAGUGAUGCCACUGGGCUUGACAUCACCUUAGUUGAACAGGUAGAAUGUGUGAAAGAUGACCACAGUUACUCUCAAGCCAUUCUUAGCUCAGGUAUUGUGGAACCAUGCUCAAAUGCUACCUGCCGAGCUACAGUCAAGGCAUUGACAAACGAGUGUGCACGAUUAAGAGCUGAGGUUAAUUGUCUUAAGGACAAAGUUAAUGUGCUGUCUUUCAAGGAAGAAGCCUUCAAAGGAAAUGAUGAGAUGGUACAGGAACUAACAGGCCUACCAAGCAAUGCUAAAAUGAUGAUUGUUUUUGGCUUCCUGUCUGGGUUUGUGGUCCAAGACUGACUCCCUUUCAUAGCUUUUUAUUAACACUGAUGAGAAUGAGGCUUAACUUACCUUUAUAUAUUUUUGUUUAUCUUUUUCAUAUGUCUAAGAGCAGUGUUGUCAGAAUGUUCAACAAUACUUUAGAUGUCAUGUAUGUCACCAGACUGUCACCACUUAUAUUUUGGCCCUCAAAAGAUCAAAUUCAGGUUAGUCUGCCCAUGUGUUUCAGGGAUAAUUUUAGCAACUGCACUUCCAUCAUUGACUGUUUUGAAAUUUUUGUAGAGAA